ACCGGACCGGUCAUCAAACCGUUUUAGUCACUGGUUCAUUGGUUCACUGGUCUAAUCGGUCUAACCGAGGUUCAACCGGAAAAACCGUUCCAUAAUAAAAUAAUAAAUAAAUUAUAAAUAAACAUCCUAAGUAUCUUUCAAAUUUAAAACCCUACGUAAAAUAUCACCAACUAAAUGUAAUUAAUCACCAAAAUAUGCAAUAACUUGCUGCAAAUUUGUGGACAAUUAACAUAAUUAUACUUCCAUUAAGAAUAGCUGGAUUGAAUUACAAUGCACAAGUUAAAGAUAGAGAAUAUUGUCUUAAUGUAGCUAAGUCAAAAAGUAAAACAAAAAAUGAUAAUGUUGCACAAUAAACACAAAACAGAGCCCGAAACAAACACAACACAACAAAGCCUGAAACAAAAAGAAUCCAACACGGAGGAGGGGUAGCAAGUCCACGGAGAUCAAGAACAGGGACAGUGCAACCAAACAAUGAAAACAGAAUUUUGUUUAUAUAACAAAACAAUCAAAACAUGAAUCAUACAAUCACUAAUUGCAAAUUUUUUCUUCAUAAGAACAGAACAAUGAAAACAUGAAGCAUAUAAUAAAUCAAAAGAUCACCAAUUGCAAAUCUUUUAAUAAGAACAGAAGUUAGAACAGUGAAAAAUGAAGAAAGAUUAACAAAUGCAAGAUU